ensembl:lncRNA ERICH2-DT ERICH2 divergent transcript
ACACACCCUCGGAUUGACGUGCGCACGCGCACCGGUUACCUUCAGGAGCGCCGAAGAAGGAAAGAAGAUGGAGUUGAGCUCUGUCGCCCAGGCUGGAGUGCAGUGGCACCAUCUCAGCUGACUGUGACCUCC